GCCACCAUGCCUGGUUAAAUGCAACCUAGUCUAUUCAAACCUAGGUUGAAUUUACAUUGAUUGAUUCAUUUAUUUGUUCAUUUAUUCAUUUACUCCUUGUAUUAGCCUGGGUUCUCCAGAGAAACAGAACCAAUAGAAUACAUAUAUAUAUAGAGAGAGAUAUAAGAAGAGAUUUGUUAGGGAAUUUUUUUGUAGAGAUGUAGUUUUGCCAUGUUGCCCAAUCUGCUCUCGAACUCCAGGGCUCGAGAAAUCUGCCCAGCUGGGUGCAGUGGUUCAUGUCUGUAAUCCCAGCACGUUGGGAGGCUGAGGCGGGUGGAUCACCUGAGGUGAGGAGUUCAAGACCAGCCUAACCAACAUGGAGAAACCCUGACUCUACUAAAAAUACAAAAUUAGCCGGGCAUGGUGGCACAUGCCUGUAAUCCCAGCUAGGGAGGCUGAGGCAGGAGGAUCACUUCAUCCCAGGAGGUGGAGAUUGCAGUGAGCUGAGAUUGUGCCAUUGCACUCCUGCCUGGGCAACAAGAGCAAAACUCCAUCUCAAAAAAAAAAAAAAAAGAGACCUGCCCAACCUGGCAUCCCAAAGUGCUAUGAUUACAGGUUUGAGCCAUCAUGCCUGGCAUAAAUUUUUUUAAAUGUGUACCAACUAAUAGUUUCAAAAAGAGUCAUAGCAGGUUUUCUUUGAUACAGAGAUAUAUGUCAUAAACAGUCAUGGAAGCUUCAUAUUAGUAGUAUAUCUUACAAAGAAGGGGGACUAUUCUACACUUUGGUAUUUUGAAAGAAAAAUAUAUAAUAUUGUAUCUAACUUUUUACUGAAAUUGUUUCCAGAAUGUCUUCAAAAAUAUUUAUCUCCUGUAUUUACAAAGGAGUUAUUAAAUAUGAGAAGCCUGUUAACCAAUAGCUUUAUCACAAAGUUUUAUGUGCUGUAUUAUAACUUCAUCAUUUUUAUGUGGGAAAUGCUUUGAAUAUAAAUUUGUUUUGCCACAUUUAAGAAAGCCCUGUCAAGCAAAAUUAAGUGAAUAAUGGAUUUGUUACUGAAUGAAUCUGAGUAAUUUGUAUUAAAAGACAAAAGGACUUCUGCUGAUAAAAGUUUUUUGGUUUGUUUAUUUGUUUGUUUUAAGACAGAGGUUCACUCUUGUCCCCCAGGGUGGAGUGCAAUGGUGCAAUCUGGGCUCACUGCAACCUCUGCCUCCCGGGUUCAAGUGAUUCUCCUGCCUCAGCCUUCCGAGUAGCUGGGAUUACAGGCAUGCACUACCACACGUGGCUAAUUUUUGUAUUUUUAGUAGAGCGUUUCACCAUGUUGGCCAGGCUGGUCUCGAACUCCUGACCUCAGGUGAUCAGCCCGCUUCGGCCUCCCAAAGUGCUGGGAUUACAGGCGUGAGCCACCGUGCCCGGCUUGAUAAAAGUUUUUGAAAAUCAGAAUUGUUAUCUUGUUUACCCUCAAUCUAUUCAGACCUAGGUUGCAUUUACAUGAGCAUUUUUACUCAUUGGUUAAUUGAUUGAAUCAUUCAUUUAUUCCUUGUAUUAGUCUGGUUUCUCCAGAGAAACAGAACCAAUAGGAUAUAUAUGUAGAGAGAUAUAUAAGAAGAGAUUUAUUAGGGAAAUUGGUUCAUAAGAUUAUGGAAGCCAAGAAGUCCCAUGAUACAUCAUCUGCAAGUUGGAGAAUCAGGAAAGCCAAUUAUGUAAAUAAGUCUUGAGUUCAAAGCCCGGAGAACCAGGGAAGCCAAUUCUGUAAUUUUCAGUCUGAGGUCAAAAGCCUGAGAAGGAGGUGGGGGGCACUGUAAGUUCCAGAGUCCAGAGUUCCAAGAACUUGGAGCUCUGAUGUCCACGGGCAGGAGAAGAUAGAUGUCCCAGCUCUAGAAGAGAAAGCAAAUGCAUUGCUCCUCCACUGUAUUAUUCUAUCCAGGCCCUUAAUGGGUUGAACGAUGCCCACCCACAUUGGUGAGUGCAAUCUUUACUCAGUCCAAGGAUUCAAAUGCUAAUGUCUUCUAGAAACAACCUCACAGACACACCCAAGAAUAAUAUUUUUAGUAGUUAUCUAGGUAUCCCUAACCCAGUCAAGUUGACACAUAAAAUCAACCAUCACAUUUCCUUAUCAAUUCAGCCAAUUCAUUAAUUAAAUACUACACAGUAAUCUCCUUAAGAGUUGGAAGCACGUUGUGUUCUUUGCAUAUACUCAGGUCCUAACCAAAGCUUAGCACAUAGUAGGCACUGCUACAUACACAUACAAGCAGUGGGAUACAAGCAGUGCUAUGAUUAGGGCUAAAUCCAGGUGUGUGAGAACAUACUGGAGGAAUAACUAAAACAGUCCUUGGGUGGUUACACUGAGGGGAUCCGAAGGCACAUAACAGAAGAAGUCCACACACAAGUAGUAAGGUUUAAGCAAGUGAGGAGGGAAAGGAAUGAGGGCAAUGGAGAAAGGCAUGAGAGCUUGGAGGCACAUUUGGAGAUACAGGAGAAGUCUCUGAUGACUGGGGUGCAGGAUAGAAAGUAGGGGGAAAGGAGGGGAGAAAUGAAUUUGGAAAAGUAAGCAGGGUUCAGAUCCUAAAGGGCUUUCUGUGUUUAACAAUUUAGCUUUUAUUCUCAGAGCAAUAGAGAGCCAUUGAAUAUUCUAAAUAGGAGAGCAACAUGAUCAGAUUUAUUUUCUUUCUUUUUUUUUUUUGAAAUGGAGUCUCACUUUGUUGCCCAGGCUGGAGUGCAAUGGCACAAUCUCAGCUCACUGCAACCUCCACCUCCUGGGUUCAAGUGAUUCUCCUGCCUCAGCCUCCUGAGUAGCUGGACUACCAGUGCCCACCACCACGCCUGACUAAUUUUUGUAUUUUUAGUAGACAAGGGGUUUCACCAUGUUGGCCAGACUGGUCUUGACCUCCUGACCUCAGGUGAUCCACUUGCCUCACCCUCCCAAAGUGCUGGAAUUACAGAUAUGAGCCAUCACGCCCAGCCCAAUCAGGUUUAUUUUCAAGAGACCAUUCUACAUGCAGAAUGAAAAAAUAAUUUCAAAUAACACAGGAAUUGUGAUGGGAAAACUAGUUAGGAUGCUGCUAAAACAAUCCAGGAUUAGAGAUACUAGUGGCAUCAACAAGAUUGCUGGCCUUGGACAUGGAGAGAAGUGGACAGGUUAGAUGGUUCUGGGAGAAUUAACAGGGACUGGAAUGGAUUGGAUGUAGGGGGUGCAGAAGAAAAAGGUGUCAGAGAUGGAGCCCAUGUUCCUGGCAUGGACCUUGGUGCAGAAUGUGUUUCCGUUCCCUGAGGAGAAGGAACACUGGAGGGAUGAAGUCUUGGUAGAUGAAGGGAGAGAAGACAGUGCCCUCUGUUUUAGACAGACUUUUUGAAAUUGGAGGUGACUGUGGGCUACUUAAAUGGUGGUUUCUACCCAGCAAUUGGGUGUGCAUAUCUCAAGUGGGCUGGAAUAAAGCCGUGGCAGUGAAUGAGGUCACCACUGGUGCCAAAACAGAGACCAGCAUGGAAAAGAAUGUUUACAGAACAGUCAGCAGAAGAAAAGCCUAGAGACAGAAGAAUGUGUUAAAUGAUACCACAAGGACCUAAUCAGCAAAACCCAGAAACUGGAAAGCUCUGCAGUAUGAACAAACCAUCCCAAAAGGCAGGACCUUUAGAUUAUAUGACAAUUAAGAGAUAUAAAAACCAAAAACAAGGCAUGGAUCUUGUUUAAACACACUAUAAAAAAAAAAAACCUUAUGAGUAACUAUGGAAAUUUAAAUUUGAUGAGGCACUAUUUUUCAUUUUUUAAGGUAUGAUAAGGAUAUUGUGGUUAUGUUUUUUACAAAAAUGAUAUCACUUAAAGAAAUAUUUACAGAUAAAAUGAUGUAAUGUCUGGGAUUUACUGCAAAAUAAUCACGUGAGAGCUGUUGCUGGGGGAGUGAUUAUAGUAUAGAUGAAACAAGAAUGGACACGAGUUGAUCAUUAUUGAAGCUGGUUGAUCAGUACAUGAGGAUUCACUGAACUAUUUUCUCUAUUUUUUGUUGAUAUUUGACAUUUUCCAUACGAAUAGUUUAAAAAUACAAAGAGAACCUCUGAACACCCCCAUGGACAAAUCCAUGCAAUACAACAUUUUAACCAAAUGAAAUCUUAUGCAGAAAAUAUCUCCAAAGUAUAGGUUGAAGGAUAGCUGUUACGUACACAAGGCUGGAAACCCAAGAUCCACACUCUCACUUCCCAGUAACCUCCUUGGCCUGCCUCUUAACUUCCUAGAACUCUAGUUCUUUCUCAGAACACAGCUGGUAAACAAACUGACAAGUGGGUAAUGAGUAGCCGACUUGCCAGUGUAUACUUUAAACUUUUUCUCACUUCCAUAAAUCUCACCUGAGAAAAUGAGCUAUGUCCACAUAGCCUAUAUAGUGAUCAUUAUAUUUACUUUGAAAUAAAGUCAAGCAACCUGCAUGAAUUUCUUCAAAGUAGGGUCUAUACCCAAUAAUCACUCUGCAAACAUCAUCAGUUUCUCUGGAGAAAAACACAUUGUAUCUUCUGUCACACAGAAGAUAAUUUAUUAAAAGUGUUUUACUUUUAAAAAGUUUAAUUUAGGCUGAUGUGGUAAAUUUAAAUGUCUAGAAAAAAUAAAAAUUUACUGUAAAGAUAUUCAGAGUGUUUUUGUAUGCUCUGCAUCCUACGGUUGCGUCUUAGGUAGCCAUGAUACAUUAAUCCAAACUAAGAAAUUAACAUGGUGUAAUACUAUGAACUGAACUGCAGAAUUUAUUUGGGGUUUCUCAGUCUUUCCAUUAAUGUCCUUUUUCUACUCUAGGAUUCAAUCCAGGAUACACCACAUUGCACUAAGUUAUCACACCUCUUCAGUCACCUCCAAUAUGGGACAGCUUCAUUUCUUGUCUUUCAUGACCUUGACACUAAAACAGGCUCAUUUAACAAUCAAUGGAGUAAUGCUCUCCUCCAAGAUUGCAGGAUUCCAUGAGAAGUGGAGGGCGGAUACCCGUUACAGUGAUAUGGUUUGGAUCCGUGUCCCCACCCAAAUCUCAUAUUCAAUUGCAACCUCAACCUUGGAGGUGGGGCCUGAUGGGAGGUGGUUGAAUCAUGGGGGCAGUUUCUCAUGAAUGGUUUAGCACUGGCCCCUCAGUACAGUUCUCACUGACAGAGAGUGAGUGAGCUAUCCUGAGUUCUGGUUGUUUAAAAGUGUAUGGCAUCUUCCCACUCUCUCUCUUCCUCCUUCUCCAGCCCUGUGAAGUACCUCACUCCCACUUUCCCUUCUGCCAUGAUUGGAAACUUCCUGAGCGACCCCUCCCCAGAAGCAGAAACUGCUAUGCUUCCUGUACAGCUUGAAGAACGUGUGAGUAUGAUAUCAGGAUGAUUUGACUGCAAGCAACAGAAAAAUCAAACAAAAAUGGCCUAAGCCAAGAAGAGAAAUGAUUAUUUCACAUUCCAAGAAGUUUGGGAGUCGAGUGGUUAAACGGCUAAUUAAUCUAGAGCUCAACAAUAUCACCCAGGACCCAUUUUCACUAUGGUGGCUAAAGCCCUGCACCCUUCAGGCUUGCACCAUGGCAGCAGCAGUGACAGUAAAGACACCCUUACACCACAAUGCUCCAUGACCAGGGAGAGGGUCUCCUCUCUCCUGCCCCUUUCUGGAGGCUCCACCGAAGAUUUCUCUUCACAUUCCGUUUCUCAUUCCUGAAGCAGUCGCUGGCAACAGGGAUGGACUUACCGCAAUGGGUACAGAGCAAUGAAGAUUCACCACUAGGUGAGUCCUUUGGAAAACACUUGGCCAUCCAAUAUAUAAACAAAUCUGGUACUCCUGUCAGGAAAGAGGUGGGUAAUUCCCAACAGCCAAUAGUGUCUGCCACAAGUGAAAUAUCUCAUCAGAGAAAACUGAGUAGGUAAUAUAUGAUUCUGUGUUUUCUCUGUUUUCUGCCUUUGCUUUUUCCAUUUGGUAAGACUCGCCUGUGUUCCUCUUUGUGGCUCUUUCUCCUUGAUAAUACAACCCUAGUUUAGUUUAGAUACAGGUGGCAAUAGGCCAGAAGGGUAUGAUUCCAGUCCUAGGAGACAAAUUCGUGAUGAGCCUCGCACAGUCAUGACAAUCCCAAUUCCAUUUGCCAGUGAACCAUUUAGGGAUGGCCACAUGACUCAGUUCUGGUCACCAAGGUGGUGGAAGAGAAGUUCUCUUGAGGGGCAUCUGGGAAAGAUUCUUCUGCCUGAUAAAACAGGAGGUAAGCAAGGGUUCUGCUCCCCCAUUUGUUUCUGCCUUUGAACUUAGCUGUGGGAAGACAUGAUGCUUAGUGUUGCUGCAGCUAUCUCAUGACCUUGGGCAAAACAUCCCAACACACAGGAGGGCCAAACAAGCAGUCAGAAGAAGCCUGAGUCUUGUGGGUGUUGUUGAGCAGCUGAACCAACCCUAGGAUGGCUUCCUUCCAGACUCCUUAGGAUUGCAAACAAUGAAGCUCUGUUGUUUAAGCAAGGUAUCGAUGGCUAUUUUCACUUGCCACUGAAAGCACCAGGACAGAGAAUCGUCUUUCUAGGAAUACAGCCACAAAAGCCUUCAUUAUGGUAUAUGCACAUGAAGAAUAUAAAAGUUUCCUUUAUGUUUCUCUUUAAAAUAUAGCUGAAGUCUGCCUCAGGCAAAAAGACAAACAGAAAACAUAAAUGCAUACAUAAUUCAAGAACAAUAAAUAUUCAUUUUAAAAUGAAUAAAUGUUCUGCAGGAUAUUGUAAUAGUUUUCUCAGGGAAUAUAUUUUUCUAAUACUUAUAUCAACUAACAGUAUUUCUGUGGCAUCUCCAGGUCCUCUGUGUUUAAGUCCUCCCUAGAAACUGCAUUUCUCUCCUUUUUCCUGCUACUUUGGAUCUCAAAUGUGCCUAAAAAGAAAUACUUUUCACUUCUCUGGUUUUUCUUUUUUCAAAUAUUAACUUGUAACUUGCAGUUGUAACAUGGUUGUUGCUAGCUAGCUGUCAAGUAUUUGUCCAAAAAUGUGUUCCUAGAAUACCUUCAUCUUAUAGUCACUCAAUCCAUAAUAGAGUUUAAACAUUUUUCCAUUAUAUUUCACAGAAUAUUCAUGUUUUUUACAUAAAAAACACUUUUAAUAUAUGAACUAUCAGAAACGCACAGCAAAAUCCCAGUUAUAUGACAUCAAUAGCCAUAUACUAAAAUACACCUAACAAUAUUCAUAUUAAACUCAAAUUUAAUAUAUGUUAAUAUGUAGGCAUAUUUACUUAUACAUAAAGCUGUAGAUUUCUCUCUAUCCUUCCCCCGUACUUCCCAGAGGUAACCAUUGUCUUGAUGAUGAUGUUGAUGACAGCAACAAUGAUGAUGGUAAUGAUGGUAAUAAAAACCGCAAAUUUGCUAUAUGCCAGGCAGUAUUCUAAGCACUUUACAUACAUUAACUCCUUAAAUGUCCACCGCAGACAUAUGACAUAGAUACUAUUAUUAUCCCUCAUUUUAUAGAUGAGAGGUUGAGAAAAAAAUUGGUUAAGCAGCUUGUCCAAGGCCACACAGCUGGUGUGCCAGGAUUCCAACACAGGCAAUCUGGCCCUGGAGCCCUUUGCCGUAUCCCAUUGCUAUAUGGAUAUUGCUGUGUAUCAUUAUAUACUUUCUCUAAACAUGUAUGCAACCAUAAAAAGCUAUACAUAGGACUUCUCUCCUUUUUAAAAAGUAUAUAAUCUUAUAACAUUUAUGGGGUCUUUUUCCAGUUAUUUUGCUAUUAUGAACAAUGUUGCAAUGAAUAGUCUUGAAUGUACAUCCUUGUGCUUUUACUCUCUGGUAAACAUCUAGAAGCCAAAUUUCUGCUUGGUAGAUUACUCAUAUUAACAUUUUUUUUUUAGUUAUUCCAAAAUUGCUCUUCAAAGUAAUUGUACCAAUUUGCAGUUCUGCCAGCACUGUAUAAGUUUUCCAUUUCCCGCUAACUCCAUCAAUUCUUUGUAUCAUUGAGUUCGCUGAUUUUUGCUAAUCUGACUGAUGUGAGGUGGUAUUUCAUUAUUCUCAUUUGCACUCUUCUUUGAUUGCUAGAGAGGUAAGAGCAUCUUUUCAUAUGCUUGUUAUCUAUUUAUGCUUAUUUUUUUCUUGGAUUUUCAUUUUGUCUGAUUUUAAAUGAAUUCUAUGACAUUCUGCUGAAUAAAGUGAGUUACAUAGGUUGUAAACACCUUCCCGUGGUAGCUAUUGACCUUCUUUUUGUUGUCAUCUUGAUACAUGGAAGUAUUUAGUUUAAUGUAGUUACAUUCUCAAUACUUUCUUUUCUCAAUAUGGUUUACGCUUUUAGCAUUAUAAGUAAUAUGGCAGUACUCAGAUGUCAUCAAGAUAUUCUUCUAUAUAUUCUUUUUAAAUUUAGCUUUUCACAUUUAGGCAACUUUAAGUAUGCUAUGAAGUAGUACCCAAUUUUACCGUCUUUCAUAUAAAUAGUUGAAUCUAUCUUUUCCUAUAUGGUGAUGUCUCAGCAUCAUUUAAUAAAGACUCUCAUUCUUUGCCCAGUGA